rfam:Schistosoma margrebowiei strain Zambia genome assembly, scaffold: SMRZ_contig0001041
AGCCUUCUGAAUGCGUGCUGAGGUUUCGUCAGACACCAAACCAUCAAGACUCGUGAGACUCUCAAGAUAUGUGAAGUG